UAUUCUAACAAAUGGUUCCGCUGGGCACUAGGACAAGACUCCACUAAGUGUUCAACUCAACUUCCCCACAAAUGACAGUGGCUCCUGGAACAAUCAGGAGCUGCAGUGACUCUAGAAGAUGUUUACUAAGUGUUUGGAACCUUAAAACAGACCCUGAAGAAGAGGACAUUUCAGCUGGCCUUGGAGCAGUUUCUCAUCACAGCACACUACAAGGGACAUGUUUCCUUGACAGAAAUUUGAAUCAAGUGGCGGAAACGUGGAAAUAUUUGUCUGACUGCUGAGUGCAUGGAGCUUCCUGUCUUGAUGCCUUCUGUCACUGCUCAUCAAUUCAUUCUCUCUACUGCUACUUAGAGAAAAAUCUCUCCUAAAGGCUUUCAGAACAUUGAGGAUAUUUUUGAAGGAGAUAGAUUGAACCAGAGUGUUAAAAGUAUGAUUUCAUGUCUCAGGAAUGAAGUUUCUCAAGAUGCUGGAAAGCUGCAAAGACAUAUAGAAUAGCCAGCAACUACAUCAUCUUAUAAUUACUCCUGGUACAAGCAAGACCACCCAUACUUUUCACCCUGCACAAAACUCCAGUCCAAAUGGAUCAAGUAUCUCAACAUAAAACAGGAUACAUUAAAUCUCAUAGAAGAGAAAGUGGGAAACACCAAUAAAAACAUUGAUAUAAGAGACAAGCUCCUGAAUAGAGAACUAUAAUGGCUCAGGCUUUAAUAUCAACCAUUGAUAAAUUGGACCUCAUGAAGCUACAAAGGUCCUGUAAGACCAAAGGACACUGUUAAUAGGUCAAAUUGGAAUCCAACAGAUUGGAAAAGGAUCUUCACCAACCCUACAGUUGACAGAAGACUAAUUAGAAACCAACAACCCAAAUAAUCAAAUUAAAAAGUUUUGUUUUUUUUAAAUAAAAGAUCAUCUUACUAUGUAUCUUUUUGAAAUACCUCAAA